AACGCGAGCAAGGCUCAAAUUGAUGACACCAUGGAUUUCUUAUUCAAGCGAAACUCCAACUGUGUGCCAGACCUGAAUUUGAUGUGGGAACUGGAAAAUACAUUAAAGCCAAUCCGAUUCGACGAUGGGAAAGGGUACUUUUUUGCUAUGGAAAGCAAUUGGUUCAAAUACAUACCAAUAUUCCUGAAUUUGCAACAGUACAUUCGCAAUCAUGAACGUGAACGAAAAGCCGCAUUGAAGCGAGGUGAACGAACCGAGCUUCGUGAAUACAGAAAUUUCACCGUGGUACCAACGUCAUCGUUCGAAAGACAUUACAUUCGAAUUGAUCGUAGAGUGUUUUAUCGCAUGUUGAGACAUAUAGAAUGUCCACAUCGAUUAUUUCGCAAUAAAAACGGCGGCCCAAAACAGGAGGAAGACAUCAAAAGUAAAGAAUGGGAUGUAUUAUGGCGUCUGUAUUUCGACAUCGAUAGCAUCGAAAGAGAACCGAGAAACAAAAAUGAUGGCCAUGCAACAAUAAAAUUCGACAACUCCAUUCAAACAGAUGGUGUCGGUAUGUCAUUUUUGAUGGAACGAACAAAAUUCAUCAUUGAAAAAGACGAUGAAGAGCGUAUGAAAGAGACACAAGAGAUGCUUCUGAAAAGCCAACAAGUGUAUGGUCUCGAUCCUGGACAACGUUUGGUCAUUGGUGGUGUGCGCAUUAACAAUUUCAACGAUCGAAACAAUCAUUCGAUUGACAUCGGGCCAAUACCAAGAUAUGAAAAAUUCAUCGCGAUGGAACAAAUGGCGCAAAAAGUUGACAACUGAAAUCGAUGAAAAGAUGCGUCUACAUCGUGAGUCAUUUGAUGAGCAGCCUGGUCCACGAGCCGAAGACCAUAAAUCAUAUGCUGAUCAUAUUUUGCGUCAUUUUGAAGAAAAGUUCACAGCAUACACACAGUAUGAAUACGCUUUGCAAGCAUUUCUCCAGUACAUUGACACGAAUAGAGCACUUGAUGCAUAUGCAACCAAGCUCAUCGAUGGUAAGCAAACGUUCAUAUUUGUCGGUGAUCGUUUCAUUGCGGCAGAUUCACCAGCCCGAGGAUAUAUUCGAUCGAAGGUGCGAGAUUUGUUCGAGAAGUUGAAACGUCGCCGUAAAUGUACAGUGGUCGAGGUGGACGAAUUUCGGACGACCAAAUUAUAAUCGUUGUGCUUCCGUGAACUUGAAAAACCGACAAAAAGAGGCAAAGUAAAGGAGAAAUAUCGCUAUCUCACAUGCCAUGGAUGCGAACCAUUGUGUGGAGAAAAUGUGCUCGGAAAAGCCCAAGGUCCGAUUGAAUCACGAAAAAGCAAUCGCAAAUUGACGCAGCAACGAAAACAUCGUCCCCGUACUGAUGGUCCACGUAUGGCAUCAAAAUUUCGUAAAUAUGAAGAGAAAACUCGAAUUGGGCGUACUAUCACCUGGAAUCGUGAUGCAAAUGCAGGUCGUAACAUUCUCUACAAAGGAUGGUGUGCUGUUAUGAAUAUAGAGCUACAUCCAGCAUUUCAACGGCAUGUUGAAGAAGAAGAAGAAAAUGCAGGAGGAGGAGAUCCACCGCCAGCACCACCAGCACGAGCUCGACAAUCAAGACGAGCAGCAUCCAAUCAAAAUCAACAAACAACACAACGAACAUUGCGUUCUCAUCUGGAUCAAGCGCGGAGCUCUCGGCCGUAAGCCCUGGGUUUUGUGCGGGAUUUCAACGUGGUCCUACAAUUCGCUACAAUUAUGUAAUAGGAGAUAGUCUAGGAAAUGUUGGGGGGUUUUAAUCUCAAAAAUAGCUUAUCAAAUUUCGUUCUGGCAGUAAGUAGCAAGUGACAUAAGUUCGAUUGCACUAGUAUUCUAAUCCAAUCAUAUGAAUAACAUAUGAUUUAUUUUUGAACAAAACUAUCAACUUACCCGUGCAAAAUCAUAUGCAUACCUAAAAAAGUGAACAGAAAAAAUUAUAUAUGAAUUUUGAACAAAACAAUUGAAAAAUAUAUAAUGAAAAGAUGAUGCCUGCAUGCAAAUAUGUAAUGUUUGUUAAUCUAAUUCAUGCGCAUACCGAUAUACAUUUUUAAAUACGUUCUGAUCGUUCAUCAAAUUCCUCAAAUAGUCUAAUUUUGAUUGCAGUUUUAUGGCUGAAUCACACUGUAAAUUAUAUUUAUAAUUAAAAAUUUGUUUAUUUAUCCUCGAAAGAAUGUGCGUUGUUAUUUAAUUUUGAGAAAAAAAUCAAUAGAUAUCUCGAAUUCGAGGCCCACCUGUAAAUCUGUUAAACCCUUUUGCCAUUCGGCUUGUGUAAAAAAUCCCAUUUGACGUGCGUUCAUUUUGUAUGCUAUCACUAUAAAUAAUAAGGAAAAUUAUAACAUAAAUAUGUAACCACAUUUAAUUAAUAUGAAAUGUAUUAAAACUACUAAUAUGAACUCACCAAGCAUGACUACAUCCUCCGGUUCCACGCCAAUAUCGCUGCAAAAUUGUUCCAUCUGCAUUGGUCCGAGUACAUCGGGUUCUUCUGCUAUUGUGUAUUGUUUGAACCAGCUGAGGCAACGUUUAAUAUUAAAUCCAUCUUCGAUUUUAUUUGUGCGUCUCGAACUAACAGAAAAAAGAAUAUUAGUUAUUUCCUUA